rnacentral:rRNA from 1 species
CCCUUAGAUGUUCUGGGCUGCACGCGUGCUACAAUGAAGCGUCCAACAAGAUGCGAAGCCGAAAGGCUCAGCGGAUCUUUGAAGUCGUUUCGUGACCGGGACAGUUGAUUGCAAUUAUUCGACUCGAACGAGGAAUUCCUUGUAAUCGCGAUUCAUCAUAUCGCGCUGAAUGCGUCCCUGCCCUUUGUACACACCGCCCGUCGCUCCUACCGAUUGAGCGAUCCGGUGAAUUAUUUGGAGUGUCCACGCAAGCCAAUCCGUUUACGUGGGUGCGAAAUUUUGUAAACCUUAUCGCUUAGAGGAAGGAAAAGUCGUAACA